AUUGAACGCUGGCGGCAGGCCUAACACAUGCAAGUCGAGCGGAUGAAGGGAGCUUGCUCCUGGAUUCAGCGGCGGACGGGUGAGUAAUGCCUAGGAAUCUGCCUGGUAGUGGGGGAUAACGUCCGGAAACGGGCGCUAAUACCGCAUACGUCCUGAGGGAGAAAGUGGGGGAUCUUCGGACCUCACGCUAUCAGAUGAGCCUAGGUCGGAUUAGCUAGUUGGUGGGGUAAAGGCCUACCAAGGCGACGAUCCGUAACUGGUCUGAGAGGAUGAUCAGUCACACUGGAACUGAGACACGGUCCCGACUCCUACGGGAGGCAGCAGGGGGGAAUAUUGGGCGAUUGGCGAAAGCCUGAUCCAGCCAUGCCGCGUGUGUGAAGAAGGUCUUCGGAUUGUAAAGCACUUUAAGUUGGGAGGAAGGGCAGUAAGUUAAUACCUUGCUGUUUUGACGUUACCAACAGAAUAAGCACCGGCUAACUUCGUG
rnacentral:rRNA from 1 species